GCCACAACGAGGAAGAACCUGAGUGGAUGAGUGGAAGGAAGGAGAAAGGCGUGGAGCAGGCACAGUUUCUGAGAGAAAUGAAUGGAUUAUAUUAGCUAUGUGCUUGAUCAGUCUCAUCUUCAUUCCCGCAGCGGAAAAAAAUACUGAAAAAGUCCUGAAAAGGAAAUAUGAAGUCAGUGUGCAACUGUUGAAGCCUUCCUGUUUCCUUAUUUGGUACAAAAGUUGUGUUCCUUUGAAGGGCCAGAUGAUAGGAACACAGUACAAUUCACAACAGAUCAGCAGCAUAAUCCAUUGACUUGGGCAGAGCUUGGAGUUGACAAGGACAAGCUCAAAGUUGCUAUUCCUGUUUCCAGAUGACCACAGGGAAGCUUUGGAGGAGGGGGAGUGCUGCUUCUGGUCUUCAGAUACUUAUUGCUGAAGGGUUUGGACUUUGAGAUGACAGAGAGCCUCCUUAUUGGCUGAUGAUUCAGUGUAUGCAAAAGAGAGCAACCUGUCCUUGGUUUUCCUUUCUGGCUGAAGAUCAUGUCAAAUUGCAUCAGGACUAACUAUCUCAAAUUGCUUCUUGAGAAUUGGAUGUGCUGGGGGUGGCUAUCCUCAUCCCAUGCCCCAGACCUCACUGUGUUUGUGAGAUCAAGGCAGCUAAAACACUUAUCCUGCCUAGGCAAACCUGAGCCUGGGUUUGGGAUGCCUCUUUGGUGUUUGUUCUUCUUCCCUAAAUUUAGGCAACAAGUAAUAAUAAUAAUAAUAAUAAUAAUAAUAAUAAUAAUAGCUU